rnacentral:rRNA from 1 species
AACGAACGCUGGCGGCAGGCCUAAUACAUGCAAGGCGAAGGGGCAGCAAUGUCACUGUCGUACGGGUGCGUAACGCGUAUGCAACCUACCUAUCACAGGGGGAUAGCCUUUGGAAACAGGGAUUAAUACCGCAUAAAGCAGGGACACCGCAUGGUGAUAUUGCUAAAGAUUUAUCGGUGAUAGAUGGGCAUGCGUCUGAUUAGUUAGUUGGCAGGGUAACGGCCUACCAAGACGAUGAUCAGUAGGGGGCGUCAGAGCGUGGUCCCCCACACUGGCACUGAGAUACGGGCCAGACUCCUACGGGAGGCAGCAGUAGGGAAUAUUGGGCAAUGGAUGCAAGUCUGACCCAGCCAUGCCGCGUGCAGGAAGAAGGUCCUCUGGAUUGUAAACUGCUUUUAUCGGGGAAGAAUAGUUUUCUUGCGAGGGAAUGUGACGGUACCCGAUGAAUAAGCCACGGCUAACUACGUGCCAGCCGCCGCAGUAAUAC